UACGGAGGGUGCGAGCGUUGUCCGGAAUCACUGGGCGUAAAGGGCGCGUAGGCGGCCUGAUAAGUAGGGGGUGAAAUCUUGCGGCUUAACCGCAAGGCUGCCUUCUAAACUGUCGGGCUAGAGCACAGUAGAGGCAGGUGGAAUUCCCGGUGUAGCGGUGGAAUGCGUAGAGAUCGGGAAGAACAUCAGUGGCGAAGGCGGCCUGCUGGGCUGUUGCUGACGCUGAGGCGCGACAGCGUGGGGAGCAAACGGG
rnacentral:rRNA from 1 species